UCGUGUGGGACCGAUGGUGCAAUCCGCCGGAAGUCCCUGAAGCUCGAAGCUCAAGUGAGCCGGACGGGGGUUCGAUUCCCCCCAGCUCCACCAGAGUGCGGAUGCGCGUUGCGUCCGCAGUCUCGUGGGGCUGACUGGUUUCGACGGCGCAUGGCGGUCGAGGGCGACGAUCCGAGAGGCGACUGCCGUAAGCAGAGCAAAUCAAGUAACUGCUAAUGACAGCAUUUACCUGAAGCAGGCCUAAAGCCCGCUUCGGAGUAGCCCGAAAGGGUUUCCCGGCCCCUGCAGGUUCUGCAGGCUCGGCAACAGAAAGGCCGGGACCUCGCGUGUCGCGC
rnacentral:ncRNA from 3 species